AAGAGCCGGAUGAUGCGAGAGUAUCACGUCCGGUUCUGUGAGAGGCUGAGGGUGAAAUCCCCUCGGCCUACUCGAC
rnacentral:ncRNA from 1 species